rnacentral:rRNA from 1 species
GACGUAGGGGGCCAGCGUUGCUCGGAAUUACUGGGCGUAAAGGGUUCGUAGGCGGUGUGGCAAGUCGGGAGUGAAAUCUCUGGGCUUAACUCAGAGGCUGCUUCCGAAACUGCCGUGCUAGAGUGCGGGAGAGGCGAGUGGAAUUCCAGGUGUAGCGGUGAAAUGCGUAGAUAUCUGGAGGAACACCGGUGGCGAAGGCGGCUAUCUGGACCGACAUUGACGCUGAUGCGCGAAAGCGUGGGGAGCAAACAGG